rnacentral:lncRNA from 1 species
GGUUAAUAUGAGAAAUGAGUCAAACUUAAAAGAUCAAAAUAGGUUUCAUUUUCCUCGGUUAGAAGAAUUCUAAAUAUUUUUUUCAAAAUUUUAAUUUUAUAAAAAUUAAUUAAAAAUAUAUUUUAUUUUAUUUUAGCUACAUCAACACUAUUAUUUACACGUCAGCAUCGUAACAGAUGUGGUAUUUUUUUAACCAAAUUAACAAAAAAAUGAAACCAAAUCAAAAAAAUAAAACAUAAAAGGACUUAAACAAGGUUUGUUAAAGUUUAAAAACUGUACUUACCUCAAUAACCCCUCAAUGGCUCGAUAGGUGUUGAUGAUUCAAUUAAUAUUAUGGAAAGUCAAUUAAUUAAUAUAUUAUUUAAUAAAUCUCCUUUUGUAUUUCAUACCUAUUUAUCUUGUUGAAUGUAUUUAUAUGUUCCACAACAAUUAAAAACUCUUAGAAAUUGUAACAAUGAUGAAAACCAAGGUUUUUAUUUUAUGUUUUCUUUGUGUAUUGUUUCUUUUCUCUACUGUGGCAAUUGAGACAUCAAAACAUGGUAAACAAUAUAUAAAUAGGUACCAUGUAUGUACACACAAUUGCUUUCUUCUUACAUAUCUAAUUUAGUAAAAAUUGUUAGUUAAUUUAUUUGCAAGUGGUGCAAAAGAAUCAAAUAAAAAAGUUUGGGUAGAUGACUUUAAGCAUUGGCCAUAUGGCGAUGUAAAUUGAAAAGGCAAACAAAGGUGGAACUUAUUCGAAAAGGAUGUGAGGGAAAGGCAAAAAUUACGCCAAUUAAGUCAAAGGAUUCAUAGAUUGACUCGAUUCAAAACUAGAUGCAUAACAUUAAUAUAUAUCUCAUACAUAUGGAUUAAUGUGGUAAGAAAUAUAAAUGAAAGCAUAUAUUAUAAUUAUUGCGUGAAUGAAAAAUAAAUAAGAUUGAAGUUGUAUCCCC